rnacentral:rRNA from 1 species
UAACCAGGAUUCCCCUAGUAAUGGCGAACGAACAGGGAAGAGCUCAAAUUUUAAAUCUCGGACGCUUGCGUCCGCGAAUUGUAGUUUCCAGAAACGUUAUCCCCAGGACGACAGCCGGUCUAAGUUGCUUGGAACAGCAUAUCGGAGAGGGUGAGAAUCCCGUUUUGGGCCGGAGGUCCCCUGGCACGAGGCGUUUUCGAAGAGUCGGGUUGUUUGGGAUUGCAGCCCAAAAGGCGUGGUAAACCCCACGUAAAGCUAAAUAUUGGCACGAGACCGAUAGCGAACAAGUACCAUGAGGGAAAGAUGAAAAGCACUUUGAAAAGAGAGUUAAACAGCACGUGAAACCGUUAAAAGGGAAACGAAUGGAGCCAGCAAGGCAUCCAGAUUCAUUCAGCCGGUGGCUGUCCACCUCCGUUYGGGACGACCUUCGGGCGUUGCGGGCGCUGCGCUUGGCAGUUGCCGUGUGCACUUAUUCUGGGUGCGUGCCAACUUGGGCUGUUGACGAUCGACACGGUCGGUAGGGAAGGUAGCUUUCUUCGGGGAGUGUUAUAGCCCUCCGUCCCAGGUCGUCGGUGGCUGAGGCUGCCGCGGUACGUGCUCUCGGGCUUGGGCCCCGUGGGCGGUCGGCUGCGCCUUCCGUUGACUGCACGCAGUGAGCGGAGGGACGACAGUGGGCUUUCCGUGGGUGUCCCGUAAACGUGCCUAGGAAGUUGGCGUGCAAAUGGCUUCAUCCGACCCGUCUUGAAACACGGACCAAGGAGUCUGACGUGUGCGCGAGUCUCAGAGUGACAAACUCUAGGGCGUAGCGAAAGCGAAGGUUGGCUCGGUCAACUGAGGUGAGAUCCUGUCUCUCGCUCGCGCGAGACUGACAGGCGCAUCAUCGGCCUGCAAGAUUCGCAUGCGAACUUGUCAGAGCAAGAGCGUACCCGUCGGGACCCGAAAGAUGGUGAACUAUGCCUGAGUAGGGCGAAGCCAGGGGAAACCCUGGUGGAGGCUCGUAGCGGUUCUGACGUGCAAAUCGAUCGUCAAACUUGGGUAUAGGGGCGAAA